CCUCUAAUAGCUCAGUUGGUAAAGCACUCGUCUAGUUCACGAGAGGUCUCCAGUUCGAUUCUGGGUGGAGGC
rnacentral:tRNA from 1 species